UCUCUCAAAGGUAAAUAAACAUUAAAAAAAAAAAAAAAAAAGAGUUGGGGAGACUGAGUGCUCAGUCAGUUAAGCAUCCGACUUUAGCUCAGGUCAUAAUCUCAUGUUUCGUGAGUUCAAGCCCUGCAUCAGCCUCUACACUGACAGUGCAGAGCCUGCUUGGGAUACUCUCUCUCUCCCUCUCUCUAUAUCCCUCCCCCACUGACACCCUUUCUCUCGUUCUCAAAAUAAAUAAAUAAAUAAACUUAAAAAUGUAUAUUUUUUAUUUUUAAGUAAUUUCUCCACCCAACCUGGGGCUCGAACCCACAACCCCUAGAUCAAGGGUCACAUACUCCACUGACUGAGCCACCCGGCUGCCCCCUAAUGGACAGUUUCAUAGGGCUAGAUCGCAUAGCAUUUAGGCUCUUGGUCUUCAUUGGCCACUCCUUAAGUUAUUAUAUCAGUUGUACUGGGGUACCUACAGCACAAGAAAGUAAUUUUACAGGAGUUAAUGUGUUCUAGAUACACAGCUGUCAUCUGGUAUGAUGAACAUGCAUUAUUUUUGUAAUCAUAAAUAUUAACUUUAAAAUAAAGCACAUAUUUUUCUACACAAAGCAUAAAAAUAAGCUAAUCAGUCUGUCCUUGUGAUAGUGACUGAAAGGGAAUUCAAGGAGUGCUUCUGAAGUACUGGUAAUAUUCCGUUUCUUCAUCAGGGUGCUCAUUACACAGGUAUGUUCAGUUUGUGAAAAUUCAAGCUGUACACUUAUAUGUGUACUUUCUUUAUAUGUGCACUUUCCUGAACAUAUAAGACACUUCAGUGAAAAGUUACAAACAAAACAAAACAAAACAAAACACACACACAUACACACACCCACACACACACAGAGCCAGGGACCACAAGGACGAUUUGUAUCCUUAUUGUCUAAAAAAAAUUGGUUUAAGGGCACCUGGGUGGCUCAGUCUGUUAAGCGUCCAACUCUUGAUUUCGGCUCAGGUUGUGAUCUCGCUGUUCAUGAGAUUGAGCCCCAAAUCAGGCUCUGUGCUAACAGUGUGGACAAAGCCUGCUUGGGAUUCUCUCCCUCCCUCUCUCUCUCUGCUCCUGCCCCACCCGCACGUGCUCACAUGCAUGCUCUCUCUCUCAAACUUAAAAAAAAUUUUUUAAGUUGGUUAGUAGUUAAGAAAUUUUUAAAAAUUUAGCAUAAAAAAUAAAUUACAUACAAAAAUAUCACAAGGAUAAAAAUAAUAUUCAUUCUUGCUUGUCUCAUGGAUACUUCUAACAUUGAAAGCAGCACUUGUUAGAACCUAAAAGUCUGCAAAAAUUUCAAGAGCUAUCCAUCAUGGUUUGCUCAGAAUAUAUAACAUGUUCAGCCCAACGCCCUUUAUAUACACCAUCCAAACUGUUCUCACCUCUUCCAGUAGUAUUUUUUUUAUAUUGGGUAACAUAUAAAUCUAUUAAUUGUGGAUCACACGAUUAAAGGGGUCUGAAAGCUCAGCUAUACAGUUGGCCUGGUUUAGACCUCACCAUCCUUGGAUAUAAGUAAAAGUGUUCGUGGAAAAUCAAAGGGUAGGUUUUGAGACUGGUGGAACUUGGUACAGAACGAGACUCCAAGAACAGCCUCUAGGCCCCCUUCCAAAGCAAACUCUGCUAUGGCGGCUGCUCCGCUGUGCUCCAUAAAGCUCAGCACUAGAGGGCAAGACCAGGCUCUGUGGCCUGGAAAAUUACUGCAGUGCAAGUACCAGCAGCUCCUAAAACCAGCACAGAAGUGGUUGCUUCAGAAGACCUCAUGCUGCAAAGCAGUUAUAACCAUGCAGGGCAUCUGAACAACUCCCAGGACAGGGAGUGGUAAGUAGCCUUAGCACCCCUGAGCAGGUGAAUGGCGCCUCAACUUGGACUGAGGGUCCCUGGCUGCCGUGGGCAGGAGAGGUGGCGAGGUGUUUUGCUGCAAUUUGCCUGGUCAUGUCAGAAGGAGAAUGGAAGAGACCAGGGAAAGGAGAGGCCAAGUCUGGGUAAGGUCUCCUACUGCCACAUACGGUGUUCCAAGUACAGACCGCACUGGAUCCAAAGAAAACACACUUAUGUAAAAAAGCAUCGAUGGCUUAAUUCUUACCCUUUGCAUAUGUGUUGAAAGGCUAUUGUUGUUUAUAUGUAUUAUGGUACAAGGAACAAGAAUUCCUAGGUUCUAUUCUUGGACUGGUCACUGAUAAACAAAGUAUCUGCCAGUGGAAAAUAUCAGGUGCUUGGAAAUUCAGAGCUUACCAUCCAUAACCAGGAGGUAUUUAUUCAAGUGCCUAGUGUGUGCCCAGAAUUGGAUAGUGAUUUCAAGAUGCACACAACAGCCAGGUGGCCAGGAUGGCAGCAUAAAGAGACAUAAGUAGGACGCAGGAAUAGGAAUCAGAGGUGCCGUGGGAAUGAAGAGCAGUCCGGCCAGCGCAGCAUGAAACACAGUCCCAGGCCACCGGGAGGACAGGAAGCAGUUGUGCUUCCCUUCAACACUUACCUCUGCCUGAGUGUCAACCCUCAGCCACACCAUCCCCGCUGUGCCCACACAUCGGUCUCAUUUGCUUCUCCUUCUCUGUCUGCCUGCAUCUCAGGUUACUGUUCAGCCCUGAGUUACCUCUGCUACUAGAGGGUCUGUAUCCUUUCCAGGUCAGAAUGGCUGUGGUAACCCUGACCCCAGGAGCUGACAUCUGUGGGUGUGCCUGCUUCAGCCCAUUCAAAGUCAAUCAGAAAUCACAAGGGCCAACCAGAGAGAUGUGUUGCAGAUUUAAGGCAGCAAAAGCCGAUUAAUUCCUGGGCUUGAGAAUACUUUGGGGUUCAGCAGGUAAACCUGGCACUAAAACGGAGACAUAUCAGACCCGGCCUUGUGAGAUCUAGAAAGAGGCUGGUGCAUGCUAUCAUUCUGCCCUGGCUCUGUGCCCAAAUGCAAUCUCUUGGCUCCAGCAACAAGUUAGUCCCAGCAGUAGGUCAAUUAUAGAGCAAAGAACCUAGAAACCAUUUUAGUCCAGACCUCUGCCCUCAGGCAGGAUUUAGCUAAUCCAAUCUGAACAAAUGGGUAUAACUUGUUAAAACCUGCCAGAAUGGAGAGUCUUUAACUUCCAAUAAUAGUCUGUUCCCAGGGCUGCUUUUCAGCUGGUACACACCAGUACAGCUGUACCAGUUAUUAAAAUUCAGAAAUACUUUCUAAAAAAAUUUUUUUAACAUUUAUUCAUUAUUGAGAGACAGAGAGAGACAGAGCACAAGCAUGGGACGGGCAGAGAGAGGGGGAGACAUGGAAUCCGAAGCAGGCUCCAGGCUCUGAGCUAUCAGCACAGACCCCGACGCGGGGCUCAAACCCACGAGCGGUGAGAUCAUGACCUGAGCUGACGUCGGACACCCAACCCACUAAGCCACCCAGGUGCCCCAAAAUUCAGAAAUACUUAUGAACAUGUUGGUAUACAGUGAGUGCCCCAAGCCCUCUGAAUGUCCCACUACCACCCUAACCUGUCCCCAGGAGAGCUUCAUGACUCAGCAGCUAAAGGGUUAAUGCCAGCCACAGCAAGGGACCUUCAGUACCCUGUUUGUUCACGCAUCAUCCAUACUAAAGUAUCAUAACACUGUUUUACCCUUGCCGGUUCCAUCCUAUAAUGCUACCUACCCUAUUCUAAAACUUUCAACUGCUUUUUCUUAUCUACUGAAAAAAUACCAGUCUUUGAGGUUGUUAUUCAAAGUCUUUCAUAAUAUAGCACCAUCCUAUAUUCUCCCUCCUACUCUCUGCUUCAUCAAACCCAGAUGCUCAACAUUCCCGAACAUUAACUUUUCCUUGGUCUUUGUUUACCUUGCUUUCUGCCUGGAAUGGCCUUCUCUUUCCAUAUCCAUUAAAAUCUUACCAACUCCUCAAGAUCUCCUGCAAUGUCACCACUUGCAUGAAGUAUUAGCUGAAAGCGCCACAUCCCAUUUCCAGAAGUGUCACAGCAACAUCUAGAUUCUAUAUUUGUAAAACUUAAUGAUUGUUUCAUAUUACGAUUAUUUUUAUAUAUGCACCUGAACUCUCCCUAGAGAGACAGCUGUUGAGAGGGCAGAAACCAUAAUCUAGUCAUCAUUAUAUCUAAGCGACCUAGCACAAUGCCUUGCUCGAGGUAUGUGCUAAAUAAAUAUUUGUUUAAAUGAGUGAGUGAACAGCUCUAAUUCUUUUGUCCAAGGGACCCAUUUUCUAUCUGUUAAAGAUUUGGGUUGUUUUUCUCUAAAGUUACUCCAAUUGUGGUUGUAUCUCUUUCUACAUAUGGAGCCCAAAUUGCACAUCAUCCAUAUCUUAAACUACUGGGUUAUUCCAUGAAGAUGAAGCAGGAAGCAUGCUCCCCUGUCAUUACUUUGCCACCCUGGAGUUUGUGACUGCCAUUUCUCCAUACACUUCUUCCAGCAUCAGAUCAAUGUACCCGUCACACAGGGACAGGCAAAUGAAAGGUUCUUGGUAAAGGAGGCUGGCCUUAACAGAUGACAGGAAGGCUGAUGGUAGAGUGAGUUGGCAGGGACUGCUAGAGAAAGGAGGCAGGGUGGCUUGUUGGGAAGCAGAGCCAAGAUGGGACUCUGGUUGCUGUGGUCAAGGCCACGGAUGCAGUCCUAGGAGGGAAGUUUUAUUGCCCUGGUUGCUGUUGGUAUGCCAGGGUGUAAAGGAGGGAAUGCUAGCAAGACUUUCCUUACCUCUAUUUUUAAAUUCCUCCUCCCCUGCUCUCCCUCCAGGGGAAGAGUUCUGAGCUGGGAGUAAGACCUAUAGGACAAGAGAGGACUUUGAUGAAAGAUGUCUGGGCUUCUUUAAAACAAAGAAGGAUGGGAAACAAGGAGCCAGAAACCACAGCCACUGUUUAAAUCUCAUUCCAAAAGGAAAUCCAGGAAAAAGUAGAAUACAAUGGGACAGCCCAGCAUGAAAACACCCUGCACAGCAGAUAGGUUUCGGGGUUCUAAGAGGCUGAGAAGAGGAAACAAAUGACCCAUCAGUACCCAGGCUUGGGCUCUCUUUAAAAAUUAUAGUUGGGGUGGUACCUGGUUGGCUCAGUCGGUUGAAUGUCUGACUUCAGCUCAGAUCAUGAUCUCGUGGUGAGUUGGAGCCCCAUAUCGGGCUCACUGCUGUCAGACUGUCAGUGCAGAGCCCGCUUCGGAUCCUUUGUCCCCCUGUCUGUGCCCCUCCCCUGCUUGUGCGCUCCCAAAAAUAAAUAAAUAUAUAUAUUUUUAAAUGAUGGUUAGAGAAAUAAAGACAUUGCUGAAUUGGAAGCUAGGAACAUUUUUCUGGGGAAGGGUCAGUUUGGAAAAGGAAACAAAGAUUAAGGAAACCCAGUUGGGGGGGGGGGGGGGGGGGUGCCUGGCUAGCUCAGUCUGUAGAGCACAUGAUUCUUGCUUUCAGGGUUGUGAGUUUGAGCCCCACACUGGGUGUAGAGCUUACUUAAAAAUAAAAUUUAAAAAAAAAAAAAAAAGGAAACUCAGUCAGAGAGUUAAGAUUCAUCUAGAAGGGAAACCAAACAGACCCAAAGAAUUGAUAGCCAAGGAUGAGAAAGACAACAGGAGUUAGAAAUCAGGAGCCAGCAUGUGAGAUUACGAUGAUGGCAAACUAGUUCUGGUCUCCAAGGAGAAAGCACACUUGAGGUAAGGGAAAAGUGUAUUGGGGGGUGGGAGGGAAGAAGGGACAUCAUUAACUUCAGGGUCACAAAGCAACUGCUUUCCUCUGUUUUUAAUCUGUGCAGAGGAUCCCCCUGGUUACCACAUUAACAAAAUGGUAGCCACAUUGAGAAGAGGUGUCCCAAGGAGAGAAGGGAGAUCCUUUCCCAGGGCCUCCCACCUGCACACACUACAACUGGGCAUGCCCACUUGGGACUGAGUGGCCACAGUAUAGAAGAGUAGGCUCACUCUGUGUUUCAGAGGAAAGAACAAGGCUCAGGGGAGGGAAGAACAAGCUAUGGGAAAGCAAAUUUGGGCCAUCAGAAGAACUCUCCAAUUUGGAGCUGUGGGGCUAAGGCUAAGCAGAGCUGUCUUCAUGAUGUGCUGAAGCACAAGGCUCAAGCAGGAAAGAUCACACAAUCCAAGCAUCCAGACUCCAAGGGACUCUGGAGAUCAUUUAGUUCAACUUUCUCCUACCUGAGAAGCUGUCAUUUUCCCCAUGAUCCUCCAACUAGCUAGUGGCAGAACCAGGAUUGGAACCCCAGUCUCUUAACUCACAGCCAGAAUUACUUCAACAGAGAGGUUCUGCCGUAAGUAUAUGUCUCUACCCUGAACCAGCUCAAUUACUGACCUCAGUAAUUCCCUCUCUUUGGCCACUGGAGGAGGCAAAGCACCACACCCAACUCUUGCAGAGCAGUUGACACAAGGACCUGUCCAAGCACCUUCUCACCGCAAUGUCAUCGCCACACCUUCACAACUUCCUGAAAGUGGGAAGUGAAGGUAUGGAAGACAAUGUGCUAGAACUCCUCAGGCUUGGGCAGGGAACCGCCUCAUCUGGGAGUUUCUCCACUCCUUUUUCCUGCCAUUACUGUCCUUUUACAGUCCCUGACACUUUCAGAGUUUUACUUUGUUAGCUCCAUCAACAGUACAUUGAAAAUAACUUCGGAUGGCCAGGCUGUUGAAUUCAAACGAGGAAGAGGUCUUUCCCUCCCAUUUCCCUAGGAGGAAACUGAGGCACAGAAAAAUUAACUGGCUUUGUCUAAGUUAAAAAAGAGGAGUAGGAAUCUAACUACUGCCUGGUCCACCGUGUCGUGCAUUGUCUCCAAGAGCAGGGUCUGGUGAGUUUAGUAGGUUCCGCAGCGUUCCAAGGAGAGCUUCUCAUAACUAGUUGGAGGGAUUGCCAGAACGAGGAGAGGGGUCGGCUCAGUAAGGAAGAGGAAGGGCCUGGGAGGGGGGCGGCAUAGGGGAAGGGGGAGGUGAGGGGGGUCUCGGAGGUAUGGUUAAAAUAAAGAACCCCAGAAAGCGCAGCAGGACUGGAAACGGAGCAAGCCACAGAGAAGGCGCUGAGCAAAGUUUGGGCCGCGCUAACCGGAGCGCGCCGCCUCGGCGGACACCGGCCGAGGGCACCCAGGGCACAAAUCCCCAGCCCGCGCGUGGACCGCGCGUUUGUCUCGCUGGGGGGCUGCAAGCCGAGCGCUCUGGAUGGAGGUGCCCGGCGUCUCGGCCGGCAUCCCCGCGGGGCGGGCGGGAGCCUCUCUCCCCGCCGUCCUCCUAGGGGAGCAGCGAGCAGCCCCAAGGAUGUCCCCGGCGGGCAGGCCCGGGCUCGGAACUCGGCGACCGGCCCCCCACGCCCCCCUNNNNNNNNNNNNNNNNNNNNNNNNNNNNNNNNNNNNNNNNNNNNNNNNNNNNNNNNNNNNNNNNNNNNNNNNNNNNNNNNNNNNNNNNNNNNNNNNNNNNNNNNNNNNNNNNNNNNNNNNNNNNNNNNNNNNNNNNNNNNNNNNNNNNNNNNNNNNNNNNNNNNNNNNNNNNNNNNNNNNNNNNNNNNNNNNNNNNNNNNNNNNNNNNNNNNNNNNNNNNNNNNNNNNNNNNNNNNNNNNNNNNNNNNNNNNNNNNNNNNNNNNNNNNNNNNNNNNNNNNNNNNNNNNNNNNNNNNNNNNNNNNNNNNNNNNNNNNNNNNNNNNNNNNNNNNNNNNNNNNNNNNNNNNNNNNNNNNNNNNNNNNNNNNNNNNNNNNNNNNNNNNNNNNNNNNNNNNNNNNNNNNNNNNNNNNNNNNNNNNNNNNNNNNNNNNNNNNNNNNNNNNNNNNNNNNNNNNNNNNNNNNNNNNNNNNNNNNNNNNNNNNNNNNNNNNNNNNNNNNNNNNNNNNNNNNNNNNNNNNNNNNNNNNNNNNNNNNNNNNNNNNNNNNNNNNNNNNNNNNNNNNNNNNNNNNNNNNNNNNNNNNNNNNNNNNNNNNNNNNNNNNNNNNNNNNNNNNNNNNNNNNNNNNNNNNNNNNNNNNNNNNNNNNNNNNNNNNNNNNNNNNNNNNNNNNNNNNNNNNNNNNNNNNNNNNNNNNNNNGGCCCGCCUCUCCUCCGCCGCCUCCCGCUCCGGCUCUUUCUCCCAGCUCUGGGCGCGACCGCACUCCCACCUGUCCCGCCCCCGCCCAGGCCCCGCCCCCGGGGCACAGGUGGACUCCGCCCCUGAGAAGCCCCAGGAAGAGGGGAGAGCCCCUCUGGGUGGCGAGAGAUGCGGCCAGAGAUUGGCGCCACCGCCAACUCGGGACGUUUGGGGUGUAGGAGGGGGCCAGUUCUGAUCCGAAACUAGUGUGAUCGAGGGCAACUGAGGUACCGCCCAGGCAUUUGGUGGUGGUGCGCCCCAAGCCGAAGUGAAGUAGAAACUGGGUAGAAGCGGGGUGGGGGAGUGGGGGAGAGGUCAUGCUGGGGAAGAGUUGGGGGUACCGCCUGAGGCUUGGCUCCAGGGCCUUUCGUGGCCCGUGACGACCCUACUUCCUACUUUAGGUAUCAAGAGUAGGCAUGAUAUUAGUUGGAAGGCAAUGACCACUGAACUCCAUCAGUUUCUUCCUCCAGGUUGGAUCUGAACACCCUUCUGUCCCAGACUCAACCACAUCAACAAGAGAUGCUGGGGAGGUUGUAUGUAUCCCAGACUGAACCCCCAAAUGGUUUCUCCCAGACUGGGAUGAAAUAGCUGUUAGGGGAGAGUAGAUGGAGCGUUCUAAAGAAGAAUUAAAAAUAAAACAGAAAGGGACUCAGAAUUGAAAAGAUCAUCAAGAUAUUCUGUGUUCCAGUUCUCUGCCUUCCAGCAGGUAAAAUAAUUAUUAUCUGAUUUAAGGUAGAUAAUUGAGGUCCAGGGGAGCAGAGUUGCCUAAGGACAGUCAACAGGUAACAACAGUGCAGUUUUCUUUUCCACUCUCCUGGGGGAAAUGGUCAGGAGACUAUGAAAGAAAUGAAGGAUCAGAAGCAUUCCCGGAUAUUUUUUAAGUUUGUUUGUUUGUUUGUUUGUUUGUUUGUUUGUUUAUUUUGAGAGAGAGAGAUAGAGGAGGGGGAGGGAGGUGGGAUGGGGUAGAGAGAGGGACUCGGACCAUGAGAUCAUGACCUGAGCUGAAUUCAAGAGUCAGAUGCUUAACCAACGGAGCCACCCAGGUGCCCCUUUUCCCAGAUAUUUUUAAAUCAGACCGACAACAUGCAAAUAGUGUUCCAAGACAGAAGUUCACAGAAUUGAGUACUGUGUUUCCCCUUCUCACUGCUAACACUUUAGUUGGACGCUCAAUAGUCCACUAAUCUUUAGGGACUGUUGUACUUUUCCCAAUUAGCCCCCAGCCCCCAACAUACUCUCCACUACCACCAGAUAGUCUUUAUAAAAUUCUUUUACAUAUUCAUACUGUUGCUCAAAAAUAUUUAAUGGCUUCUUAGUGCUUACUGAUUAAAAUGCAAACUGUAAACCUGGAAUUCAAGGCUUUCCAAAACCUUUUCCAACUUUAUAUGACCAAUGAAACAUGCUUUGGCUAAAAUGAAUUCAUUCACCACGCUCCAAUACAUUUUGUUUUUUAGCUGGUCAAGUUUGGCCUUUGCUUCAAGGUCCAUUUCAGGCUCUAUGAAGUUUUCUUGGACCAGCCCAGUCUUGAACAACCCCAUCCUGCUUGGAGCUUUAGUAGAACUGACAGCCUGCCCCACCCACUGAUAUGUACAGAUUCCCCAACCUCACUGUGAGGCUCCAAAAGUGGGAAAUUUGCCUUCUCAAUAUGGACCACAAAAUCCAUUUUAGCAUUCAUUAAUGUUUGAGGAGCAAACAUCCCUCAGAACUUUCGGUAUACUUCGUUUAAAAAAGGUGGAUCUGAAGAACAAUUCUCUCACAGUAGCCCCAAGAAAAUGUCUGCAAAGUUCCAAACCAUAGAUGUGACAUUUCCCGUGCUCUUUUCUCUCUCCAAAAGACUGAGAGACAGGAGCAGCCAGUGUGGACAAGCUUGGCUGAGGCAGGUGGGAGGUGAUCAGGGUCUCGGUAAAUAGAGCUUUUCUCUCUCUGUUUCUCUCUCUCUUUUUUUCUCUCUUAUUGGGAGCAACCAGACUGGCUGUUAGGCUGAGUCACUUUCAGGACUUUGUGAUGGAAACAGGUGGCAUCCCUGCCACAAUCUUCUCUUCAAGACUAGCCCUCCUGGGAGAACACAUACAACCACUUCCAUCAACCAAACCAUUGAACUAUCUAUUAUGUGGGAACUGGGAGAGAUAUAACACAGAGAGCAUGCCAUUUAGUCUAGGAGAAAAGAUAUUCCAUAGAAAAAGAGAUCUAACAACAUAAAGGCUGAUUUUCUGGUCCAAACAGUGAAUUCCAAAGAAAUUCAGAAAAGGAAAGAGAUCACUUUGCGUACCUCAGUUCUUUGCCCUCCUCUUCCCACUCUAUGUUCUUAUACCUUAAAGAGAUCAUUUCUGGGGCAUCUGGCUGGCUCAGUUGGAAGAGCAUGCAGCUCUUGAUCUUGGGGUCAUGAGUUCAAGACCCACAUUGGGUGUAGAGAUUACUUACAAAAAAAUGAAUAGAUCAUUUCUUUCUCUACUUAUGGUGAGAAGGUGCAGGGGUAGGCAGGGAUAAGGAGGGUGGGAAACCUUGUGGCUCUCUCUCCCUCUUCUCUCUCUUUCCCGCUGUGGUUACCUCCCUGGCACAGAGAUAUCCCUCACCCCCCAAGUCUGCUUUCAGACUGCUUGCUCCAAAUCCCUUUUGACUCCUAAUGAUAUCACAGCAAGGCAGCAGCCAGACUUUGAGACCCAAAUUCUUUUUUCGAUCAAUUGAGCUGGCUGUCAUUCUCCCUGAGGUCCAGAGCUAAGUAUAUAGGUUGAGGUAUAAUUUUAGUGGCACAAUAUUGCCGCCAAUGUCUGUUCAUUGUCAUGUCAAUUUAACUGGAUGCUCACUCGUUCUUCUGAUGGUUUUCACUGUCCUUUUGCUCUCUCACUUCAGCCCCUGGCACCUGUCUAGAAUGCCCCAGGGUCACAUUGCAAAACCACACCUGAAAAGGAAAAUCAUUUCCAUCAUGCUCACCCUCUGAUGGGGUGGGCUCUGGUCUCCAGCUUGGCUAGGAUGUCAGCAUCAGGUCAAACCCCAAAUUUCUUCUCCCAAAUUACAGAAGCUUUGUGAGAGAGGUCAGUCUAAGCUUUCUAAAAUAGGCCAAGGUUAGCACAGGGACCAGAAAAUUCUGGUUUGUAGAGAACUCAAAAGGGAAUUGUGUGCAGUGACGAGUAGGUGUAGUGGCAGAACUCUUGUGUCCGAAGCAAUUCUUAUUCUAGUCAUAGGGAGGUAGCAUAUACUGAGUGAAUCCCAUGAUCCUGGGGCCACCCUUUCCAUUUCCUCAAACCUGACACCUACAGGAUAAUGUGGCAACUUGACUUUGAGAACAAUUUUAUGUCUUUAUCAUAUGUGUUUUAUUUCUCACAACCACAUUAGAGUAGUAGGAAAAGUAUUUUCCUCUAUUUAUGAACUGCACAAGCCUCAGUUUCUUCAAGGUGAUCUGCACCAAGUUCACAUAAACAGUAAGUGAUGGAAUCAGAACUAGAACCAGAUUGUUAGCCUCUGGUUCUCUCUCCCUUGUAUCCAGAGCACUCCUUCUCUGGCCUGACCUUCCAUACUUCCUUCUGCCCAUACAGACCCUCACUCUUGUUUUUCACUUCCGGAGCUUCUCUGCUAUUCAAAAGUAUUUCAUGGAGAUAUCUUGGUAGUGGAAAUUCUGAUGAUAAAUUAGUGAGGGUUUCUGGACCAUCACUAAGUCAAUGUCUUAGGCUGUGAAGUGGGGAGGAAUGAGUUCCUUCACUUUGAGAGAAUUCCUAAGAGAGAACAGUGCUGAAGCUAUCUCCCAGUGCCAUGGCCCUCUCGGCAAGCAUUUAUUUAUUUCUUUCAACUCAUGUAAAACAUCUGUGUUUAUAGGUUUCACUAGUUCCAUUUUACAGAUAAGGAAAUGGGCUCAGAGAUGUUUAAUAUCUGGUUCAAGGUGAUGUAGGUGACCUGUGUCUUAAAUGGGACUCAAACUCAGGCUUUCUAACUUCAGAGCCAAUGCCUUUUUUUUUUUUUUCUUCCCUUUGCACAUAUUUCCCUGGAAGUUCCCCUGGAGCAAUAUAUUCACCCUGGAAACUCUGAGCUCACUCUCAGCACAUCCAUAACUCACCGAGCCACAUGAUAAUUCUUCUCAUUCUCCCCCUUCCCAACCCUCACCAAUGCUUCCUGCUCUUCUCUUUACAGAAGAAGUCACUUUUUCCUCUCUCUUCCUUCCAUGAGUCCCAUCUUUUACAAGACUUUCUGCAGUUUGCUGCUUUGGAGGCUAGUCCCGGGAGAAAGUGGAAACCCUCACUGAAUGCUUCUUAUUGGAUAUUCCUCUGGAUUUCCAGUGCAGUUGGGCCCUUCUCUCUGGAUGAUAGAAAGAAUUGUAUGAACUAAGCCCCAAGCCUUAGUUUCUCUACAUUUGUGGUCCUAAAUAAUUUUGCAUACUGGAUUGGGAAACAGAAGAAUAUGUACAAGAUCGCAUCAUAGAGAGUCAAAUGAACUAGAUGAAGAGAGUCAAAGAAAAGAUGAACAGAGGGCAGAGAUGUUAUGCUGAAGUACCAGAACAAAGCUCCUUGGCUUUCAGGAAAGAUCCCGGGCGAUUCACAUACUGAGAGCUAUGACUUCAUCUCCCUCCCAAGCAAAUGAGUUCUUCAUUCUAUCUGUCGCAAAUGCAAGGCAUGACCCAGACCAGAACUAUAUGCUUCAAAGCUUAAAUUUGGCAUCUAUUGCUAGGUUUUGCUUCUCUUUCCAGUGUGCAGUGUAAAUGCCUCCAAAUUACUACCACUUGUCUUCCUUCCGUCUUCCCCCAGGGAAAAGGAUUCUCUAGCAAGUCAACGGACAAUUACCCAAGUCAAAAAAUUAACUUUGACUUGCUCACGCUUUUCCACAGAGUAGUAGCAAUAUUCCCCUCCACUCAGAUUUGCUUUGUUGGCUGGGAGACCCACAAGGAGAAAGGGUGAACAGUGCUCUUCAUUGCUCAUUAGUUGGUGCUGAAACAGAGGCUAAAUGAGCCUUCCCUGAAGCUCCACCUCCAGUCUCUUUGACAACUAAUUCCCACUAGAAUGACAGUCUCUCCUGUCUGCAUCCUGCAAUCUGCUACUACAGAUAAUGGUCAGGAACUCUGUAGCUGAAGUUAAGGCAUAGUGACCCCCAGCUCUGGGUAGCUUCUGCCUCAUUCCCACGUCCUGGGAAUGUUUGAUGUCUAAGAGCUCUGUGGCUUGCCAUGGUGCUUGGUGCUUUAGUACCUCUCAGUGAACUCUUGGUGCUUUCUUCUCUUCUCCCAAGACACAACCCACACGGUUGGUCCCCACAAGCAUGAACACACACAGGUGUACACACGCUCCCCUUUGGGGGGCUGUACAGAUGGUAGACUCAGAGGCAGCUUUCUGGCAUGACUUGGCUCUCUGGCACCACCUUCUGCAGCAUGGAGGGUGUUCUCAGCAUUUUCAGAACACGCUGUAGGUCUCUAAGCCUCUGGGAGAGACUGGAUUUCCUACCUCUAUUCUUUCAUCCUGAAGAAACUCUUCCAUAUACAGCUAUCACUCCAAACUUCCCAGCUUCUCAAAUCCCUAACAGGGCUUGUCAGUGACCACAUCUGUUCUACGACUCUACAACCUGUACUCCUCCUAUAGCAUCCUGCCCAGAAGUCAUUCAAUAAACACUCUGUAACAACGGAAAAUGUUCUUACUCCCCUGCCUCCUCUUCAGCCCACUCAUUUAAGGAUGUCUUCCUCUAUUAAAGCAAAAGCAAGAACACAGAUGUUCCUUCCCAUGCCUCAAACACAAGUGAAUCCACUCACCUGCUGGGAAUGCUGCAGGCAACCCAGGCAAGUGCAUGGCACAGUUGGAUGAACCUCCCUUAUGGCUUUGCUAGGGAAGAACAAUGAUCCUAAUGGCCAGUACAUGUGCAGAGUGCUACAAAACAGCUCCAGUGCUCAAACCCCAGACAGACUUUCUGAAAAACUUCUUUGUCUAAGUUCAUAGGUCCAGGCUAUAAACUCUGGUGAGAGAACCCCAGGCAUGCCACUUAACACUCAAUCACUGUGGCAUCUCAGCAGCAUGUCUCCGUUUCCAGACGGCGAUGCUGGGCACUGAUGAGAGUCAGAACUGUUGGUUUCGGGUUUCUCAGCCAUGUUAUCUAAGGACCGGCUGCUUGGGAUUUGAUCAGGGCUGGUUUGGGAGAGAGGCAGACGCCGUCUUUUCCCCAGAACAGACUACCCUUUGAGCUCUGCCGCCACCCGGGCUGGGGAUGGAAGAAAGAAAACAAAAAUCCUCACUGUAUGUGGUUCUCCGGAAUUUAACUUGGCUCUGGAAAGGGAAAAUUAAAGAGCAACACUGCUCAUCCACUCUCAACGCCCUCUGCAGGCAGCAAAGCCCAUUAGCACUGAGGCUUGUCAGGACUGGGAAGGCAUUGGGGUGAGGACAAGGUCAAUUUCUCUCCCAUCUCCUCCCUAGGCCAACACUAAGGUGUUGAGUAGGGAAGUCUGAUUUAAAGUCCCUUUACAAGAACCAGCCCUUUCACAAAGAUGGCACUGAAGGCAGAGAAGGAAGCCCCUGACCCUCCCAAAGCUGAAGCCAAAGCAAAGGCUUUGAAGGCCAAGAAAGCGGUGCUAAAAGUGUCCACGGUCACAGGAAAAAAAAGAUCCGCAUGUCACCUACCUUUUGAUGGCUCAAGACACUGUGUCUUCAAAGGCAGCCCAAAUAUCCAGGAAAGGGCACCCCCAGGGGAAACAACCUUGACCAUUAUGCCAUCAUCAAGUUCUCGCUGACCACUGAGUCAGCCGUGAAGAAAAUAGAAGACAACCACACACUUGUCUUCAUUGUAGAUGUCAAGGCCAACAAGCACCAGAUCCAACAGGCUGUGAGGAACCUCUAUGACAUUGACGUGGCCAAGGUCAACACCCUGGUCAGGCCCAAUGGAGGGAAGAAGACAUAUGUUCCACUGGCUCCUGACUAUGACGCUUUGGAUGUUGCCAACAAAAUUGGGAUCAUCUAAACUGAGUCCAGCUGGCUAAAUCUAAAUAUAAAUUUUUUCACCAUAAAAAAAAAAAAAAUAAUGAAG
rnacentral:lncRNA from 1 species